AGCUCUCUGUAGUUCAAGUUCAUCACGGUUUGGCAUCUGUUAUGGGUUUUUAAGCUGAGAAGUAGAAGGUCCCGCUGGCCAGUUGGAGUGAGAUUCUCGACGUUGUUUUUUGGAAAGGGGUGUAACUCCAACCAGGUCUUGAACCAGCCCAGCUCUUGCAUCAGCUUUAACCCACCUCACACCCAGUUAGCAGACAUGAUCAUCAGACUGGGCAGGCUGACACCUGGAUACUUCCGUCUCCUCCAGAGGCAAGUAGCAGGUCAGGUGCAGGCGCAGCCACAAGACCGUGCUGUCAACCAGAUAGCCAUGAUGCUGGCCAUCAUGGGCCUGAGUUUGUCUUACUACAGUGCCAAACAGAUGACGGAGAAGGUGAAUGCCCAGCCUGCACCCUGAAGAGGCUCGACUGCCGGUGCCAUUCGUCGAAAUAAUGGAUGAACCAAUGACAAGUGAUGGCGGUGGAGCGAGGAAGUAGAAGUCGAGACACAGCAGUGUUUCUGGGGACUGAACUUUUCUCACCUCACAGUCAUAAUCACACUUUGAAUUUCUGGGAUCCCUCACUUACCACGUGCAAAACUUUCUGACCGGGCACUGAGUGUUUUCUACUCUUUCUGUUGCCAGGACCUUCAGGGAUUUAUUGGGAUGGCUCACUCUGGGUCAUGUUUGGACUCUUUUCUGUAGACUGGUUUGGGUGGGUGAUCAAAAUCUUGACAGCUAAUUGGAUCUGACUGUUAGUUAUUACCAGGCUAGAUGCUUGCAGAAUGCUGUCAGUGCUGUUCUGAGCUAUAAAAAGCAGAGAAACCUAAACUGUGAAACAAGCUUGUUCAAAAGGGAUUUAAUGAUAUGAGCAGUAAUGCCUUUUUAAGGGAAUGCUAACUGCAAGUGAAGUUUACCUGGUAAUGAAGGGAAGACGGGCUCAGAAUGUGGAUAAAGGGUUUAAAAAUGUAGCUUUAAAAUUUUUUUUUUCCUUUGACCCAAAGAACCACAGGGCUAUGUCUAUACACCAAUUGGCCACAACAUUUUAAAGUUUUGUAGGUUCUCCUCAUGUUGCUGAAACCACAGUGGCUGGAAGUGGAUUCUGUGAUUGAUGCUCGUUCCACCUUGUGUUCGUUAAGUUGUCCCCAAGAGUUUUUACGGCACGUCGGAGCACAUCGCUCUGCUGGGGGGAGUCUGCUGCUGUGGGGGAGUGCCAUUAAUAUGAGGUAGCGCGCUUGGUCUUCAACAAUGUUAUUAAAACUAGGAGCCAAGUCAGAACGUAACACUGUAAACAUAUGAUCGAAAUGAUGUUAAUCCUUUCACCUGCCAGUGGUUUGAAUGUUGUGGCUGAUCUGUGUUUAUAAAAUUGUAUUUGCCAGGUGUCUGAGAUAUUUGCACAGAACUAAAGAAACACAUGUACAUGUUACAGUGGAUAUGCAAAGGGACUAAACUCUACUUUUUUCUGGUUGUGAUUUCACUGUUUUAACAAUACUUUGUGAAGUCCUGUGUGUGCGACGACCUUGAUUAGCACCCUGGCUAAGAACCCUCCUUCUGGGAUCUACUAAUUUUAGUGCAGACUUUACUGAAAUGCAUGGUUGUGCAGAACUUUAAUCCAAACAAAUCUCACGAGUCCCUUUUGUUUUUAUGAAUGUAUCACUUUAUUUUCGUAUUGACUUAAUAAAGCUGUGAAUAUUUUAACAUGUA